AUUACCUUAUUGAUGAAACUAGUUGAGUCUGCUAAUCUUUGCCACUGAAAGCAUCCUUCCAAAAAAUUCAAAGGUGUAGUGGUAAUUCAUUACUAGGGUUUGCAUCUAACAACUUCUGUUUUCCUUUUAGGGAAGGAGAAGGGUCAGAGAUUUGAAGAAAGUGAAGAAUCAGAAAGCAUCUUUUUAGGGAAAUUCAGGAGUGCUGAAGGCCUGAGAGAUAACAGGACCAGACUAUUGGGCCAAGAUCAAUUUGGAGACUCUCCUGAUGGGCCCAUGGCUUCAUGACAUUCAAUGAUCAUCAAAUGUAAGAUUAUAUAUUAUCAAAGUAGAUAAAAUAUAUCGAAUAAAGAGUAAUAAUACAAUCACAUUAAAGUAUGCUUUCUUUCAAAAUUGU
rnacentral:lncRNA from 1 species